AACGAACGCUGGCGGCAGGCUUAACACAUGCAAGUCGAACGCCCCGCAAGGGGAGUGGCAGACGGGUGAGUAACGCGUGGGAACGUACCCUUCGGUUCGGAAUAACCCGGGGAAACUCGGGCUAAUACCGGAUACGUCCGCAAGGAGAAAGAUUUAUUGCCGAAGGAUCGGCCCGCGUCGGAUUAGCUAGUUGGUGGGGUAAUGGCCCACCAAGGCGACGAUCCGUAGCUGGUCUGAGAGGAUGAUCAGCCACACUGGGACUGAGACACGGCCCAGACUCCUACGGGAGGCAGCAGUGGGGAAUAUUGGACAAUGGGCGAAAGCCUGAUCCAGCCAUGCCGCGUGAGUGAAGAAGGCCUUAGGGUUGUAAAGCUCUUUCAGCGGGGACGAUAAUGACGGUACCCGCAGAAGAAGUCCCGGCUAACUUCGUGCCAGCCGCCGCCGUAACAC
rnacentral:rRNA from 1 species